rnacentral:rRNA from 1 species
UACGGAGGGUGCGAGCGUUGUCCGGAAUCACUGGGCGUAAAGGGCGCGUAGGUGGCGCGGCAAGUCAACGGUGAAAGCUCGACGCUCAACGUCGAGUCGGCCGUCGAUACUGCCGCACUCGAGCACUGUAGAGGCAGAUGGAAUUCCGGGUGUAGCGGUGGAAUGCGUAGAGAUCCGGAAGAACACCGGUGGCGAAGGCGGUCUGCUGGGCAGUUGCUGACACUGAGGCGCGACAGCGUGGGGGAGCAAACAGG